AGGCGAGCUGAGGAGCACGCCGCGUGAGUGAUGAAGGUCUUCGGAUCGUAAAACUCUGUUAUUAGGGAAGAACAAAUGUGUAAGUAACUAUGCACGUCUUGACGGUACCUAAUCAGAAAGCCACGGCUAACUACAUGCCAGCGCCGCGGUAAUUGA
rnacentral:rRNA from 1 species